rnacentral:rRNA from 1 species
CCCGCUGAACUUAAGCAUAUUAUUAAGCGGAGGAAAAGAAACUAACAAGGAUGCCCUCAGUAACGGCGAGUGAAGCGGGCAAAGCUCAACCCGAAAAUCGGAUUCCUUAGCGGGAUUUCGAAUUGUGGGGUUCUGACGCGUGAUCAGUGUGUGGCCCAGGUAUAAAUCUCUUUGAAACGAGGUAUCAUAGAGGGUGAGAAUCCCGUCUGUGACUUGGUGUCCGCCGCGUACGAUCCGUGUUCGCAGAGUCGCGUUGUUUGGGAUUGCAGCGCUAAAUGGGUGGUAAAUUUCAUCUAAAGCUAAAUAUCGACGAGAGACCGAUAGCGAACAAGUACCGUGAGGGAAAGAUGAAAAGAACUUUGAAAAGAGAGUUAAAAAGUACUUGAAAUUGCUAAGAGGGAAGCACUGGAAACCAGUCGUGACUCGCGUGUAUAUUUAGCCUUUGCUCCUGGAUCCGCGUCGUGUGGAGAGCCCAAAGCCUUCUAGCGAUUCGGUGAAAUGGUGGGGGUGCCCUGUACUGUGAGUUGAGUCAGAAUCAAUUUGAUGCGUGAGAGAAAGCUAUCACAACGGUAGGACCGCGGGGGCAACUUCAAGGUCUGUUUAGUGUGGUAGUCCUAUCAUGCGUUAGAUUGAGGGACAAUCGAAAAGCGCACCACUAGGUUUUCGGUUCCCCGACCCUGGGGUCUCAAGUGGCGUGUACACCAAAGAUGUGCUGUCGCUGAAGGGCCUUACUGGAAGGGAUGAACUAGAAGCAGCUUUCGAGAUUCUGACGAAAUGGUUUUCAUUGCCCUGUCUUGAAACACGG